ensembl:miRNA
UGAGGCAGGAGAAUCGCUUGAACCCAGGAGGUGGAGGUUGCAGUGAGCCUAGAUCGCGCCACUGCACUCCAGCCUGGGUGACAGAGCGAGACUCCAUCUCA